rnacentral:rRNA from 1 species
UGGGGAAUAUUGCACAAUGGGCGCAAGCCUGAUGCAGCCAUGCCGCGUGUAUGAAGAAGGCCUUCGGGUUGUAAAGUACUUUCAGCGGGGAGGAAGGGAGUAAAGUUAAUACCUUUGCUCAUUGACGUUACCCGCAGAAGAAGCACCGGCUAACUCCGUGCCAGCAGCCGCGGUAAUACGGAGGGUGCAAGCGUUAAUCGGAAUUACUGGGCGUAAAGCGCACGCAGGCGGUUUGUUAAGUCAGAUGUGAAAGCCCCGGGCUCAACCUGGGAACUGCAUCUGAUACUGGCAAGCUUGAGUCUCGUAGAGGGGGGUAGAAUUCCAGGUGU